rnacentral:rRNA from 1 species
UAGGGAAUAUUGGACAAUGGGGGCAACCCUGAUCCAGCCAUGCCGCGUGAGUGAAGAAGGCCCUCGGGUUGUAAAGCUCUUUUGUCCGGAAAGAAAAGCUUCGGGUUAAUACCCCGGGGUUCUGACGGUACCGGAAGAAUAAGCACCGGCUAACUUCGUGCCAGCAGCCGCGGUAAUACGAAGGGUGCAAGCGUUACUCGGAAUUACUGGGCGUAAAGCGUGCGUAGGUGGUUGUUUAAGUCUGAUGUGAAAGCCCUGGGCUCAACCUGGGAAUGGCAUUGGAAACUGGGCAGCUAGAGUGCGGUAGAGGGUAGUGGAAUUCCCGGUGUAGCAGUGAAAUGCGUAGAUAUCAGGAGGAACACCAGUGGCGAAGGCGGCCUUCUGGACGGCUACUGACGCUGAGACGCGAAAGCGUGGGGA